rnacentral:lncRNA from 1 species
CAUUGGUAUCGAAGGAACUAGAUUCUGUUCCGAAAUAUCACUUACUCGAACCGUCCUGACCGCGUAGCUCAGUUGGCAGAGCAUUGGGCUAGUAUUCCAAAGGUCGUAGGUUCGAUUCCCACCGUGGCCGGGCAUAUUUUUCAAGCUCGUCCGGUGUGGAUAUACACUCAGAGUAACAUCACAAACAUCAUAUUCACCUGAGUACACAACACCAACACAGAAAAAAAUCAUAUUACUAGAUUACACUGGUAUCGAAGGAACUAGAUUCUGUUCCGAAAUAUCACUUACUCGAACCGUCCUGACCGCGUAGCUCAGUUGGAAGAGCAUUGGGCUAGUAUUCCAAAGGUCGUGGGUUCGAAUCCCACCGUGGCCGGGCAUAUUUUUCAAGCUCGCCCGGUGUGGAUAUACACUCAGAGUAACAUCACAAAUAUCACAUUCACCUGAGUACACAACACCAACACAGAAAAAAAUCAUAUUACUAGAUUACAUUGGUAUCGAAGGAACUAGAUUCUGUUCCGAAAUAUCACUUACUCGAACCGUCCUGACCGCGUAGCUCAGUUGGAAGAGCAUUGGGCUGGUAUUCCAAAGGUUGUAGGUUCGAAUCCCACCGUGGCCGGGCAUAUUUUUCAAGCUCGCCCGGUGUGGAUAUACACUCAGAGUAACAUUCACAAAUAUCAUAUUCGCCUGAGUACACAACACCAACACAGAAAAAUCAUAUUACUAGAUUACAUUGGUAUCGAAGGAACUAGAUUCUGUUCCGAAAUAUCACUUACUCGAACCGUCCUGACCGCGUAGCUCAGUUGGAAGAGCAUUGGGCUGGUAUUCCAAAGGUCGUAGGUUCGAAUCCCACCGCGGCCGGGCAUAUUUUUCAAGCUCGCCCGGUGUGGAUAUGCACUCAGAGUAACAUCGCAAACAUAUUAUUCACCUGAGUACACAACACCAACACAGAAAAAAAUCAUAUUACUAGAACACAUUGGUAUUGAAGGAACUAGAUACUGUUCCGAAAUAUCACUUACUCGAACCGUCCUGACCGCGUGGCUCAGUUGGAGGAGCAUUGGGCUGGUAUUCCAGGGGUCGUAGGUUCGAGUCCCACCGUGGCCGGGCAUAUUUUUCAAGCUCGCCCGGUGUGGAUAUGCACUCAGAGUAACAUCACAAACAUAUUAUUCACCUGAGUACACUACACCAACACAGAAAAAAAAAUUCAUAUUAAUAGAAUACAUUGGUAUCGAAGGGGCUAGAUUCUGUUCCGAAAUAUCACUUACUCGAACCGUCCUGACCGCGUGGCUCAGUUGGAGGAGCAUUGGGCUGGUAUUCCAAAGGUCGUAGGUUCGAAUCCCCCCGUGGCCGGGCAUAUUUUUCAAGCUCGCCCGGUGUGGAUAUACACUCAGAGUAACACCACAAAUAUCAUAUUCACCUGAGUACACUACACCAACGCAGNNNNNNNNNNNNNNNNNNNNGGUUCGAGUCCCACCGUGGCCGGGCAUAUUUUUCAAGCUCGCCCGGUGUGGAUAUGCACUCAGAGUAACAUC